rnacentral:rRNA from 1 species
GACGAACGCUGGCGGCGUGCCUAAUACAUGCAAGUUGAGCGCUGAAGGUUGGUACUUGUACCGACUGGAUGAGCAGCGAACGGGUGAGUAACGCGUGGGGAAUCUGCCUUUGAGCGGGGGACAACAUUUGGAAACGAAUGCUAAUACCGCAUAAAAACUUUAAACACAAGUUUUAAGUUUGAAAGAUGCAAUUGCAUCACUCAAGGAUGAUCCCGCGUUGUAUUAGCUAGUUGGUGAGGUAAAGGCUCACCAAGGCGAUGAUACAUAGCCGACCUGAGAGGGUGAUCGGCCACAUUGGGACUGAGACACGGCCCAAACUCCUACGGGAGGCAGCAGUAGGGAAUCUUCGGCAAUGGACGAAAGUCUGACCGAGCAACGCCGCGUGAGUGAAGAAGGUUGUCGGAUCGUAAAACUCUGUUGGUAGAGAAGAACGUUGGUGAGAGUGGAAAGCUCAUCAAGUGACGGUAACUACCCAGAAAGGGACGGCUAACUACGUG